CAAUUUUUGACAAUAGCACACGGAGUUGUCAGAAAUCUAUGGAUUUCCAAAACGCCCUAUUUCCUUCUUCCGUGCUCCUCUAAUCUGACUCAACUGAAAAUCCCAAAAGAAAAGUCAAACAGACAGACAGACAGACAGACGUCUUCCAUAAAUAAAAUUCAGGAAAAAAAAAAAGGAAAGAAGAAAGAAAUUGUAAUAAUGAUGAGGAAAGGAAGGAACAUAUUUGGAGGACGUCAUCAUCAACAAGGAAAAAGGUCAUCAUCAUCAUCAAUGAUGACGGCAUUAGUCUUAUCAAUGCUUUUAAUGCUUACUAUUGUCCUUCUUGUUCUUUUAUCUCUUGGCAUCUUUUCUCUCCCCGUCGGCGAUGCUUCCGGCGACUACACUCACAUCACUUUCAAACGCAAACGAUUACUUGUGGGUGAUGUUGAUGAAUUGGCAAAGCGAGGAGAUCAGUGGACUGAGAUUCUAUCCUGGGAGCCUAGAGCCUUUUUAUAUCACAAUUUUUUGUCCAAGGGAGAGUGUGACUAUUUAAUAAAUCUUGCAAAGCCUCACAUGGCAAAGUCAACAGUUGUUGAUAGCAAGACUGGUCAGAGUAAAGAUAGCAGAGUGCGUACAAGCUCAGGAACAUUUUUGAGGAGGGGAAGAGAUAAAAUCAUACGGACUAUAGAGAAAAGGAUAGCAGACUUCUCAUUUAUUCCUGUAGAGCAUGGAGAAGGACUGCAAGUGCUCCACUAUGAAGAAGGACAAAAAUACGAGCCUCACUUUGAUUACUUCCUUGAUGAGUUCAAUACCAAAAAUGGAGGCCAACGAAUUGCUACAGUUCUUAUGUAUUUGUCAGAUGUCGAGGAAGGGGGGGAGACAGUUUUCCCUGCUGCUCAAGGAAAUUAUAGCUCUGAGCCUGGGUGGGAUAAUUUGUCCGAGUGUGCUAAAAGGGGUAUUCAUGUGAAACCAAAAAUGGGUGAUGCAUUACUUUUCUGGAGCAUGAGGCCCGAUGCAACAUUGGAUCCAAGUAGUUUGCAUGGUGGUUGUCCUGUGAUUAAAGGAAAUAAAUGGUCUGCUACAAAGUGGAUGCAUGUUGAAGAGUACAAAAUAUAAGUUUUCCAAAAGGCGACUACGAUGAGGACUCACCAAUCUGCCACUAGUGCUAAACGAAGACUCGGAAGCAACAGUUGUUAUAGGAAUUGCUAAUAUAUCACGAGCAAUUCUUUGAAGUAUUGGGUACUUCACGCCAUUUAUCUUCCACCAAGCUAGUAUAUCGAGAUCGAUAUCUGGUGGACAAACUUUCUCUUUAAGCACAUAAAUGCAAGUUGAGCCUGUGGUGGUUUUUCAAGCUGCCAUGUAACAUAUAACAUGAGUUGGUUUCUUAUCAUAAUUGUGGAAUGGGGAACGGGUCGAUAGCUGUAGGUUAUAGGUGUGCUUUUCAUCCCCUUCGGAAAUGAUAACAAGCUUUGUGUUACAAAGAAAGUCAAUAUAUUACAACGGUGAAGUGAGUUACAUAUAACAGAUUGUCAUGAAAACUGGUGAGAAUAGUAAAGUUUUUUCCUCUCCUUUUUAGUACUAGGUAGGCGUUUUUAUGAAGCAAAUCACAGUUGUAUCGUGUUCUUGUCUUCCAAGGCGAGUUUGUUUCAUUGUAAGUAUUUAUGUACGUUCAUUGUUUUGAAACACAGAUCAUUUAUGCACAAGGGUUUACUUCAGAAUGAUUA